rnacentral:pre_miRNA from 1 species
UUUUUGCAAUUUUUGGAAAUUUUGAUUUUGGAUGGAAAAUCCGCGAUCUCGGAUUUUCCAUCCAAAAUCAAAAUUUCCAAAAAUUGCAAAU